UCCAGCGCUCCCCGGCUGCUCCGGCCCGACUGCUCUUAACUUUGGAGGGAUCCCAGGGAUGGCUCCCGAGGAAGAGGAAAAAACUACCCCACCGACUAGGAAAGCCUCUUCACCAUACCCACCCGCCACUUGGGCUCCCGGUCCCCUCCCUCUGAAACGCGCCUGUUACCAACCUGGGGUUUAUAAGGUUAAAUAGUAUGUGGUUUCCCGGCCGCCCCUCCACCCCCAUCAAAUCUGAGGAAGGCAAAUCUCGGGGAUGCAGCCCGAGAGUUGGCCUCGGUUUGCACCUGGAGGAGGAGCUGAGGCGUUCUGGGCAUCCUACAGAAACUGACAAGCGCUCCCCUGUACCCUCCGAAUCUAUACAACGGCCCAAAGGGAGCAGGCGGAAGAAAGAGCUCAGGCUCUCUGGCCCCGAAGUCCAAAAAUACCUUCAUUUCCUCAUUGAUCUCCCUUUUCACUGGGUUGCUCUUGAUGUUUGUUCUAGCCUGAUUCCUCCAGAAAAUACAUUGGAGAGUGGAUAGGAAGACCCCAGGGUGAUCUGCCUUCAGCCCUCAACCCCUAGAUCUGCUUCUUUGUUAUCUCCAAGAACACCUAACUGGAAGCCCAGUCUUCAUGCCUGGAGAGUGAAGCUGAGCACAGGGUCACACUAGGAAGUGGCCGAUCCCUGAUAAAAGUCCCCAGUCAGCCGACUCCCAGACAGAAAAUUUGUCUCCAACGUGCUGUUCGGCCCUGAGUUGUCUCUUUAUUACAUCCCAGAGGGAGGACAUUGAGUGGAAAAGUUUCCACAGUUUCACUAUGAGAAGACAUUAUACAUUUCAGCGGAAGAAAAAAAAUGUCAUCAAAAGCUAAGUAGAUAAGUUAAGGAUGCUAUAAUAAGUCUUGGGAUAUAGGCUGUGCAUUUGUUUUGUUUUUUAAUUCCAUUAAAGUCAGUAAA